GGACUUUUCACCUGUGUCUCUCUGUGUCUCCAGCUUUCCUCUCAAGGAGUACUGUCAAGAAAUACUACUGAGACACUAACAGUUUCAUAAAUGGAAAAUUUGGAAAUCUGUGCUAUUGAUCUCAUGGACCACGAUGACCAAGAUGCCAUAGCUUCAGUUAUUACAAUCUUGCUUCAAGGAGCAGAAAAUCAGAGAGAGAAGGAAAUUUAAAAGGCAUCUAUUCUUUGUUAAGAUUGCCUGCCUCUUGAAAUAGACUCUGACCAAUGUGUGGUAGCAGCUUGUGAGUAGGAAGAAGGAAGAAUCUCCAUCUCUUUUGGCAUCAUGGAACUUUCCUGCAUGGCUUACUUCCAGACUUUGUUAUAAACUGUCACAGUCCAAAUUCCCAAUAAAUGCCUUCUGGACUGAAUUCAGGUGGGAGAAAUAAAAGGAAAAUGCAAGCCGUGUUUAGGAAACGAAUAAUUCUCUGCAACAAUCAAGACCAAUUGCAUUAAGACAAAAAGUUUACAAAAUGACAAGAUCAUUACAUAAUUUACAACUCUGUUGAUAGAGUACCUAUACAAGUAACACUAAGUAUGUAUAAUGAGCACACUGUACAUACUUCAAAAUUUGCCCUUUAAUUGUAUUCUAUGGUAGCCCAUUUGAUUAAUAUGGUCAACAUUAGUGUAAAUUGGCAAAGCAACUACUACAUGUGUAAACAAUGCCACUUCAUUACCUUACUUCGCUAAAUAAAAGCUAAAGCUAC